AUACGUAGGGGGCGAGCGUUGUCCGGAUUUAUUGGGCGUAAAGGGUGCGUAGGCGGCCUUGUAAGUCAGAUGUGAAAGAUCAUGGCUUAACUGUGGUAAGCAUUUGAAACUGUUUUUCUUGAGGAUCGGAGAGGUAAUGAGAAUUCCCGGUGUAGCGGUGAAAUGCGCAGAGAUCGGGAGGAAUACCGGUGGCGAAGGCGAAUUACUGGACGAUAACUGACGCUGAGACACGAAAGCGUGGGGAGCAAACAGGAUUAGAUACCCUGGUAGUCCACGCCCUAAACGAUGAAUGCUAGGUGUAGGGGAGUCAUCUUCUGUGCCGCAGCUAACGCAAUAAGCAUUCCACCUGGGGAGUACGGCCGCAAGGUUGAAACUCAAAUGAAUCGACGGGG
rnacentral:rRNA from 1 species